CUCAGUUCAUUUUGCUGCCGUAUCGCCGCCCGAGUUGUGGACUUCCACGAUUCCUCAGGAGCAUUUCGUGUUACACCCUCCUGUCUUGGUGUGCCUCCGCAACUCCAACUUGUCUGGGUUCUUUUUUCUACACCCCUUCUGUGUGGGAAGAAAAAGUCGAUCCCUUGUUGAGUUUGGUCGACUUUUGCGAAAUGUCGAUCCCAGUGGUGUUUGUUGACUUUUGUCAAAAAGUCGAUUCCCUGUGUCUUUGCAUCGCUUCCCUUGUGAAAAAGUCGAUUCCUG
rnacentral:lncRNA from 1 species